GAUGAACGCUAGCUACAGGCUUAACACAUGCAAGUCGAGGGGCAGCAUUUUAGUUUGCUUGCAAACUGAAGAUGGCGACCGGCGCACGGGUGAGUAACACGUAUCCAACCUGCCGAUAACUCGGGGAUAGCCUUUCGAAAGAAAGAUUAAUACCCGAUGGUAUAAUCAGACCGCAUGGUCUUGUUAUUAAAGAAUUUCGGUUAUCGAUGGGGAUGCGUUCCAUUAGGCAGUUGGUGAGGUAACGGCUCACCAAACCUUCGAUGGAUAGGGGUUCUGAGAGGAAGGUCCCCCACAUUGGAACUGAAACACGGUCCAAACUCCUACGGGAGGCAGCAGUGAGGAAUAUUGGUCAAUGGGCGCAGGCCUGAACCAGCCAAGUAGCGUGAAGGAUGACUGCCCUAUGGGUUGUAAACUUCUUUUAUAUGGGAAUAAAGUUUUCCACGUGUGGAAUUUUGUAUGUACCAUAUGAAUAAGGAUCGGCUAACUCCGUGCCAGCAGCCGCGGUAAUACGGAGGAUCCGAGCGUUGUCCGGAUUUAUUGGGUUUAAAGGGAGCGUAGGUGGACAGUUAAGUCAGUUGUGAAAGUUUGCGGCUCAACCGUAAAAUUGCAGUUGAUACUGGCUGUCUUGAGUACAGUAGAGGUGGGCGGAAUUCGUGGUGUAGCGGUGAAAUGCUUAGAUAUCACGAAGAACUCCGAUUGCGAAGGCAGCUCACUGGACUGCAACUGACACUGAUGCUCGAAAGUGUGGGUAUCAAACAGGAUUAGAUACCCUGGUAGUCCACACAGUAAACGAUGAAUACUCGCUGUUUGCGAUAUACAGUAAGCGGCCAAGCGAAAGCAUUAAGUAUUCCACCUGGGGAGUACGCCGGCAACGGUGAAACUCAAAGGAAUUGACGGGGGCCCGCACAAGCGGAGGAACAUGUGGUUUAAUUCGAUGAUACGCGAGGAACCUUACCCGGGCUUAAAUUGCAUUUGAAUAUAUUGGAAACAGUAUAGCCGUAAGGCAAAUGUGAAGGUGCUGCAUGGUUGUCGUCAGCUCGUGCCGUGAGGUGUCGGCUUAAGUGCCAUAACGAGCGCAACCCUUAUCUUUAGUUACUAACAGGUCAUGCUGAGGACUCUAGAGAGACUGCCGUCGUAAGAUGUGAGGAAGGUGGGGAUGACGUCAAAUCAACACGGCCCUUACGUCCGGGGCUACACACGUGUUACAAUGGGGGGUACAGAAGGCAGCUACCUGGUGACAGGAUGCUAAUCCCAAAAGCCUCUCUCAGUUCGGAUCGAAGUCUGCAACCCGACUUCGUGAAAGCUGGAUUCGCUAGUAAUCGCGCAUCAGCCAUGGCGCGGUGAAUACGUUCCCGGGCCU
rnacentral:rRNA from 1 species